AGGGAAUAUUGCGCAAUGGGGGGAACCCUGACGCAGCGACGCCGCGUGAAGGAAGAAGGCUUUCGGGUUGUAAACUUCUUUGAUUGGGGAAGAAGGAAGUGACGGUACCCAAAAAAUAAGCCACGGCUAACUACGUGCCAGCAGCCGCGGUAAUACGUAGGUGGCGAGCGUUGUCCGGAAUUACUGGGUGUAAAGGGCGUGUAGGCGGGAGUGCAAGUCAGAUGUGAAAUACCACGGCUCAACUGUGGGGGUGCACCUGAAACUGUGCUUCUUGAGUACUGGAGAGGGAAGCGGAAUUCCUAGUGUAGCGGUGAAAUGCGUAGAUAUUAGGAGGAACACCAGUGGCGAAGGCGGCUUCCUGGACAGAGACUGACGCUGAGGCGCGAAAGCGUGGGUAGCGAAC
rnacentral:rRNA from 1 species